UACGUAGGGUGCGAGCGUUGUCCGGAUUUAUUGGGCGUAAAGAGCGUGUAGGCGGCCAGACAGGUCCGUUGUGAAAACUAGAGGCUUAACCUCUAGACGUCGAUGGAAACCGUUUGGCUAGAGUCCGGAAGAGGAGAAUGGAAUUCCUGGUGUAGCGGUGAAAUGCGCAGAUAUCAGGAAGAACACCCGUGGCUAAGGCGGUUCUCUAGUACGGUACUGACGCUGAGACGCGAAAGCGUGGGGAGCGAACAGG
rnacentral:rRNA from 1 species